GGAGAGGUGGCCGAGUGGUCGAAGGCGAUUGAUUCGAAAUCAAUUGUGCCCGUGAGGGUACCGGGGGUUCGAAUCCCUCCCUCUCUG
rnacentral:tRNA from 4 species